GCCUAGGAGUCUAGAAGUCUCUGCUCCUUACAUUUGUUUUCUGUCCUUAAAUGUGGAGGAGAUACCCACAGGGUGCAUGUGAACUCUUCCAUUCUGGUGGAAUCGGAGGCCAUGUGAGGAGAAGAAUGAUCUCCUGCAAUCAAAUGUCAGAGACAGUUUCAUAGAUAUGAAGGAUCAUGGGAAAGAAUCACCAUCUUUCUGUCACGGUAUGGUAGAAUUGCCGUGGAUCCGUAUGGACUGACAGUGCCUAACAGUCUCAAGCAUCUAAGGUUCCAUCAUUUGGUGAAGAGCUUCUUUGCCUUUUGACCGGCAUUCACAUGGGCCAUUUGGUCUGUGUUCAUCAUUCGGACAAUCUUCUGGGCUUUGGGGAGCACACUUCUCUUCAACUCUAUGAACAAGAGGGCAUUUCUUCAUUCUCUGUGGGUGCACUUGCCUGUGUUCCUAUAUUGAAUUUGGACUCCAGAAAGUUCAAACUGAUAUAAAGCAGACCUAGUUGAUCAUGGAUAAGAGAAUGUUUUAGUAAAGAUCUGUGCAAAGUUCAAAAGACUGUCUUCCUAAAUGGAGGGGAAAGAACAAAAGGCAUAUACAGAACUGGAGUUAAAUACAAUAAACAUUGAAAAGAUUGUGGGGAACAACUAAUUGUGUGAGGUUAAAAUUUAAAAAUAAUUGUUAAUAAUAA